AGCAGAUUGCUCAUAUGUCAGCUUAUAUCCAAAUCAGCUGAUGGAUGUGACUUUAAAACACUGUGUUCCUGUAUAUGUGGUUACACUCAGUAAAUAGCAGUGAGUUCGAUAAACUGACGACCUUCACGGCCAAUUGCAGUCAUUUCUGUUGAGCAUGUGAACACAAUGGCAAAUCAGCGCUGUUUAAGAACACGCUCAAUGGCGCUCAAAUGUUAGCCUGAAAUGGAGGUUUUUAAACAGCAUCACAGGCUCGUUCUGAAAACAUCGUCCUGUGACGCUGUUUAAGAAAGCGCUCAAUGGCGCUCAAAUGUUAGCGUGAAAUGGAGGUUUUUAAACAGAAUCACAGGCUCGUUCUGAAAACAUAGUCCCGUGGACGUUUCUGGAGACCGCAAAU